rnacentral:snRNA from 1 species
GGCUAUGAGGCUGACCUGGCUGUGACAUCUGUGACCUCAUUAAUCUCCAGGUUUGAUUCUGCUGAUCUGGCUGCCUAGGCAGCUUGCCCCCUUCCUCCCUCAAACGCUCCAUGUGCAUCUCUCCUGAGGCUAUGCUAGGUUAAAGGGGACAACUACCCCCAAAAGAGGAUCAUUCCAUGGUUAGGGGUUUACAAGUAGUUGCGCUCCCCCUCUGUAACCUCUUAAACAAGCUCCCAUUUGAUUCUUUUAGUAGCCUAGUGAAGGAAAAUAAUUCUUGGUUUUUUAAUUCAUUGAAGUAGUUU